GCCAUUACCUCACAGUCACGUG
rnacentral:miRNA from 12 species